rnacentral:rRNA from 1 species
AUUGAACGCUGGCGGCAUGCCUUACACAUGCAAGUCGAACGGUAACGGGUCCUUCGGGAUGCCGACGAGUGGCGAACGGGUGAGUAAUAUAUCGGAACGUGCCCAGUAGUGGGGGAUAACUGCUCGAAAGAGCAGCUAAUACCGCAUACGACCUGAGGGUGAAAGGGGGGGAUCGCAAGACCUCUCGCUAUUGGAGCGGCCGAUAUCAGAUUAGCUAGUUGGUGGGGUAAAGGCCUACCAAGGCAACGAUCUGUAGUUGGUCUGAGAGGACGACCAGCCACACUGGGACUGGGACACGGCCCAGACUCCUACGGGAGGCAGCAGUGGGGAAUUUUGGACAAUGGGCGCAAGCCUGAUCCAGCAAUGCGGCGUGCAGGAAGAAGGCCUUCGGGUUGUAAACUGCUUUUGUCAGGGAAGAAAUCUUCUGGGCUAAUAUCCCGGGAGGAUGACGGUACCUGAAGAAUAAGCACCGGCUAACUACGUGCCAGCAGCCGCCGUAA